CACACACACACACACACACACACACACACACACGCACAGCGAAACACAGAUACACUCACAGGUGCAAAGGCUCCCGGCCACACCCACCGACAGCUGUGCACACACGGACUCAGGUACACACGCACACACACUCUCACCAGAGGAGGGGCGCACAUGCACACAGUGUCCCCAUGCCAGCUGGGGGCGAUGUCAGCCAUCCCAGCCCUCCGGAGGAGUCUGGCAGCCAGGCCCAUGUGAGAGCCCCCUGACACUUGUAGCUUCGACCCCCUGGCCUGGUGCCUGUGCCCACAUCUGCCCUGCAGCCACGCAGAACUCCGCGUCUCAGUGCCUUUGUGCAUGCCGUUCCACCUCGCUCCCUGUCUGCUUGCUGAGCACACCUCAUCCUCCAGAGUCCAGGUCCAGUUAACUUGUUCCUCACCCGGGGAGCCCUGGCCUCCAGGAGAGAGGCCUACAGCAAUCCCUUUCUCUGCAGAAGCCUUCAUGGUCCAUGGAGUAAUUUCACAGCCUGUGACUCAUCUAAUCCUCAGGACAGUCUGGGGGAGACGGUGUCUCUACCUCCGUUUUAUAGACGGAGGGAGGCUCAGAGAUUUGAACAUCUCGCCCGAAGAUGGCAAAAAAUGAGGUUGAGUAAAAGCUGACCUUCGUUGGACUACACGACAGUGUGUUCUAGAGGAAUGCAUUCAG